rnacentral:rRNA from 1 species
AUACGGAGGAUCCGAGCGUUAUCCGGAUUUAUUGGGUUUAAAGGGAGCGUAGGUGGGAUAUUAAGUCAGCUGUGAAAGUUUGGGGCUCAACCUUAAAAUUGCAGUUGAUACUGGUUUCCUUGAGUACGGUACAGGUGGGCGGAAUUCGUGGUGUAGCGGUGAAAUGCUUAGAUAUCACGAAGAACUCCGAUCGCGAAGGCAGCUCACCGGGCCGGAACUGACACUGAUGCUCGAAAGUGCGGGUAUCAAACAGGAUUAGAUACCCUGGUAGUCCGCACAGUAAACGAUGAAUACUCGCUGUUUGCGAUACACUGUAAGCGGCCAAGCGAAAGCGUUAAGUAUUCCACCUGGGGAGUACGCCGGCAACGGUGAAACUUAAAGGAAUUGGCGGGG